rnacentral:rRNA from 1 species
UACGAAGGGGGCUAGCGUUGUUCGGAAUCACUGGGCGUAAAGGGCGCGUAGGCGGCCUGAUAAGUCGGGGGUGAAAGCCUGUGGCUCAACCACAGAAUUGCCUUCGAUACUGUUAGGCCUGAGACCGGAAGAGGUAAGUGGAACUGUGAGUGUAGAGGUGAAAUUCGUAGAUAUUCGCAAGAACACCAGUGGCGAAGGCGGCUUACUGGUCCGGUUCUGACGCUGAGGCGCGAAAGCGUGGGGAGCAAACAGG